CAGUCGCCGCGGUAAUACAGAGGAUGCAAGCGUUAUCCGGAAUGAUUGGGCGUAAAGCGUCUGUAGGUGGCUUUUCAAGUCCACCGUCAAAUCCCCGGGCUCAACCCUGGACAGGCAGUGGAAACUACCAUGCUGGAGUACGGUAGGGGCAGAGGGAAUUUCCGGUGGAGCGGUGAAAUGCGUCGAGAUCGGAAAGAACACCAACGGCGAAAGCACUCUGCUGGGCCGACACUGACACUGAGAGACGAAAGCUAGGGGAGCAAAUGAGAUUAGAUACCCGCGUAGUCCCUGUCUCUUAUAC
rnacentral:rRNA from 1 species